rnacentral:rRNA from 1 species
UACGUAGGGGGCAAGCGUUGUCCGGAUUUAUUGGGCGUAAAGCGCUCGCAGGUGGUUCAUUGCGUCGUGCGUGAAAGACCCCGGCUCAACUGGGGAGGGUCGUGCGAAACGGGUGAACUAGAGGCCAGUAGGGGGAUGCGGAAUUCCAGGUGUAGCGGUGAAAUGCGUAGAUAUCUGGAGGAACACCGGUGGCGAAGGCGGCAUCCUGGACCGGCAUUGACGCUGAGGCGCGAAAGCUAGGGGAGCAAACGGG